UUUUAAUUUAUAUUUUUAUUCAUUUAUUUAAUCCCUGAACACCGAUAGGCUGUAUCAAGUGUCAAUCAUAGAAAACAUGAACCCCCUAAUAACUUUUAAAAAUGGAGCUGUACAGAAAAAAGAGGACUUGAGCACAAACCAGUCUGACAGUAACUACAUGUCAACAUCACAACCAGGGGGGAGAAACAUUUAUAUUCUGUGUCAUUAAUUUAUAAAGUUUGUCCACAGAUCCAUAAGGAGGCGGGGUUUAGGACCU